UACGGGGGGGGCAAGCGUUGUUCGGAAUUACUGGGCGUAAAGGGCUCGUAGGUGGCCAACUAAGUCGGACGUGAAAUCCCUCGGCUUAACCGGGGAACUGCGUCCGAUACUGGUUGGCUUGAGUUCGGUAGGGGAGCAGGGAAUUCCUAGUGUAGCGGUGAAAUGCGCAGAUAUUAGGAGGAACACCGGUGGCGAAGGCGCUGCUCUGGGCCGAAACUGACGCUGAGGAGCGAAAGCGUGGGUAGCAAACAGG
rnacentral:rRNA from 1 species